rnacentral:rRNA from 1 species
CCUACGGGAGGCAGCAGUAGGGAAUAUUGGUCAAUGGAUGGAAGUCUGAACCAGCCAUGCCGCGUGCAGGAAGAAGGCCUUCUGGGCUGUAAACUGCUUUUGCCAGGGGCUAAAAAGCCCAUGCGUGGGAAAUUGAAAGUACCUGGUGAAUAAGCCACGGCUAACUACGUGCCAGCAGCCGCGGUAAUACGUAGGUGGCAAGCGUUGUCCGGAUUUAUUGGGUUUAAAGGGUGCGUAGGCGGCUUUGUAAGUCAGUGGUGAAAUAUGGCAGCUCAACUGUCAAGGUGCCAUUGAUACUGCAGAGCUUGAGUACAGAUGAGGUAGGCGGAAUUGACGGUGUAGCGGUGAAAUGCUUAGAUAUCGUCAAGAACACCUAUAGCGAAGGCAGCUUACUAGGCUGUAACUGACGCUGAGGCACGAAAGUGUGGGGAUCAAACAGGAUUAGAUACCCUGGUAGUCCACACUGUAAACGUUGAUUACUCGCUGUGUGCGAUAUACAGUACGCGGCCAAGCGAAAGCGCUAAGUAAUCCACCUGGGGAGUACGCCGGCAACGGUGAAACUCAAAGGAAUUGACGG